UAACUGGAGAGUUUGAUCCUGGCUCAGAGUGAACGCUGGCGGCGUGCCUAACACAUGCAAGUCGGACGGGUCCCGGGUAGCAAUAUCU
rnacentral:rRNA from 1 species